ACAAGCGGUGGAGCAUGUGGUUUAAUUCGAUGAUACGCGAGGAACCUUACCUGGGCUCAAAUGUAUGUUGACGUAUUCUGAAAGGGAUACUUCUUCGGACAAUAUACAAGGUGCUGCAUGGUUGUCGUCAGCUCGUGCCGUGAGGUGUCGGGUUAAGUCCCAUAACGAGCGCAACCCUAUCAUUAGUUGCCAUCAGGUCAAGCUGGGGACUCUAAUGAAACUGCCUACGCAAGUAGUGAGGAAGGUGGGGAUGACGUCAAAUCAGCACGGCCCUUACGUCCAGGGCUACACACGUGCUACAAUGGCCGGUACAAAGGGCAGCUACCUGGUGACAGGAUGCUAAUCUCAAAAGCCGGUCUCAGUUCGGAUCGGAGUCUGCAACCCGACUCCGUGAAGCUGGAACCGCUAGUAAUCGCGCAUCAGCCAUGGCGCGGUGAAUACGUUCCCGGGCCUU
rnacentral:rRNA from 1 species